ACUCCUACGGGAGGCAGCAGUGGGGAAUAUUGCACAAUGGGCGCAAGCCUGAUGCAGCCAUGCCGCGUGUGUGAAGAAGGCCUUCGGGUUGUAAAGCACUUUCAGUUGUGAGGAAGGUGGUGUCGUUAAUAGCGGCAUCAUUUGACGUUAGCAACAGAAGAAGCACCGGCUAACUCCGUGCCAGCAGCCGCGGUAAUACGGAGGGUGCGAGCGUUAAUCGGAAUUACUGGGCGUAAAGCGCAUGCAGGUGGUUUGUUAAGUCAGAUGUGAAAGCCCGGGGCUCAACCUCGGAACUGCAUUUGAAACUGGCAGACUAGAGUACUGUAGAGGGGGUAGAAUUUCGA
rnacentral:rRNA from 1 species